UAUUAUUAUUAUUAUUAUUAUUAUUAUUAUUAUUAUUAUUAUUAUUAUUAUUAUUAUUAUUAUUAUUACUAUUAUUAUUAUUAUUAUUAUUAUCAUUAUUAUCAUCAUUAUCAUCAUUGUAUCGUGUGUGAUUGCGGACUAUGAGGACGAGAAAAAAGACAGCUGGAAAUGCCUCCGUGGACUAUGGGCAUGGCGUGGGUGUAGGCGUGUUAGUGGGUGGGUAUGGGCGUGUCUUGAAACCGUGGGUGUAGAUGUGAGUGUUGGUGUAUGUGUGUAUGUGGGUGGAUGUGGGCGGUAGUGAUAGGUGACGGGCGUGGGCGUGGGCGUGGCGUGGGCGUGGGCGCUAGUGGACAGACACGGCUUCGACACCAAAAGGAAAGUUAAUGAAAUAAAUGUGUAGGAGGAAAUGAAGGUGGGGAGGAAAAGUAGAGAAAGAAAAGUAGAGGAGGAAAAGUAGAGGAGGAAAACUUUAGAGACAGUAGAUAAAAUAACUGUUGAUAAGGAAAGAACAUUAGAGACUUUUUCAGUGUCAAGAGAAUCAUAUUAGAAAAAAAGAUACCGGCAUAAUUAAUAGUAAAAAAAAAAUAGUAAUAUAAAAAAAUAGCUUACAACAUUAAAGGAGGAAACGUGAAAAUGAAGUAAAAGAUAGAAAACGGGGCUUGUGUGUGUGUGUGUGUGUGUGUGUGUGUGUGUAGGUAGGUAGGUAGCGUGUAUGGUAGGUAGACACUGCUGUAUAGGAAGCAUGUAUAAAAGGUAGUGGAAUGUGUGGUGUGAUUCGCUGCUCAGGUUUCCGUCACACUGUUUAGGUGAUGUCAGGGUGCUUGGGUUGGCCGGCAGGGGCUGUGUGGGCAGUGAUAUACAGGUAGCGUUUAUAAUAGCUAGGCACUGAUAGGUUGGGAGCAUGUAUUAGGUAUGCACUGUUAUAUAGGAAGCGUGUAUAUAAGGUAGCUGGAAUGUGUGGUACGAUUCGCGUCUCAGGUUUCCGUCACAAUGUUUAGGUGAGGUCAGGGUGCUUGGGUUGGCCGGCAGGGGUUGUGUGGGCAAUGAUAUACAGGUAGAAUGUAUGAUAGGUAUGCACUGUUAUAUAGGAAGCGUGUAUAUAAGGUAGCUGGAAUGUGUGGUGUGAUUUGCGUCUCAGGUUUCCGUCACAGUGUUUAGGUGAGGUCAGGGUGCUUGGGUUGGCCGGCAGGGGUUGUGUGGGCAAUGAUAUACAGGUAGUGUGUAUAAUAGCUAGGCACUGAUAUAUAGGUUGCAUGUAUAAUAGGUAUCCGGUAUUAACAUCACACCUUCCACCUACCGAUUGUACAUGCAUGCUGCUGCCCAUACAUAUUAGUGCUUACCUAUCCUUGUUGCAGUAAAGGAAACGACUCGCGAGAAUAAACAAAGAAAAACACAUAUUCUUGUUGCAGUAAAGGAACGACUCGAGGGAAUAAACAAAGAAAAACACCUAUUAUUGUUGCAGUAAAGGAACGACUCGAGGGAAUAAACAAAGAAAAACACCUAUUCUUGUUGCAGUAAAGGAAACGACUCGCGAGAAUAAACAAAGAAAAACACAUAUUCUUGUUGCAGUAAAGGAAACGACUCGCGAGAAUAAACAAAGAAAAACACAUAUUCUUGUUGCAGUAAAGGAACGACUCGAGGGAAUAAACAAAGAAAAACACCUAUUAUUGUUGCAGUAAAGGAACGACUCGAGGGAAUAAACAAACAAAAACACCUAUUCUUGUUGCAGUAAAGGAACGACUCGAGAGAAUAA